GACGAACGCUGGCGGCGUGCUUAACACAUGCAAGUCGAACGAGAAAGCCCUUCGGGGUAAGUACAGUGGCGAACGGGUGAGUAACACGUGGGCAACCUGCCCCGGAGAGCGGGACAACCCGAGGAAACUCGGACUAAUACCGCAUGAUGCGUCUCCACUUAAGUGGAGCCGCCAAAUGGUAGCUUCGGCCUCCGCCCUGGGAUGGGCCCGCGCCGAAUUAGCUAGUUGGUUGGGGUAAUGGCCCACCAAGGCGACGAUCCGUAGCUGGUCUGAGAGGACGAUCAGCCACACUGGGACUGAGACACGGCCCAGACUCCUACGGGAGGCAGCAGUGGGGAAUCUUGCGCAAUGGGCGAAAGCCUGACGCAGCAACGCCGCGUGAGGGAAGAAGGCCUUCGGGUUGUAAACCUCUUUCAGUAGGGACGAAGCUUCCGGGGUUAAUAGCCCACGGGGUGACGGUACCUACAGAAGAAGCCCCGGCUAACUACGUGCCAGCCGCCGCCGUAA
rnacentral:rRNA from 1 species